rnacentral:rRNA from 1 species
CUACAUGAAGCCGGAAUCGCUAGUAAUCGCGGAUCAGAAUGCCGCGGUGAAUACGUUCCCGGGUCUUGUACACACCGCCCGUCACACCAUGGGAGUCGGAAAUGCCCGAAGCCGGUGACCCAACCCGAAAGGGAGGGAGCCGUCGAAGGCAGGUCGGAUGACUGGGGUGAAGUCGUAACAAGGUACC